rnacentral:rRNA from 1 species
GCCUACGGGCGGCAGCAGUGGGGAAUUUUGCGCAAUGGGGGCAACCCUGACGCAGCAACGCCGCGUGAGUGAUGAAGGCCUUUGGGUCGUAAAGCUCUGUCAGAGGGAAAGAAAUGUGGGCGACUAAUAAUUGUUCCACUUGACGGUACCCUCAAAGGAAGCACCGGCUAACUCCGUGCCAGCAGCCGCGGUAAUACGGAGGGUGCGAGCGUUGUUCGGAAUUAUUGGGCGUAAAGCGCGUGUAGGCGGCUUAUUAAGUCUGAUGUGAAAGCCCUGGGCUCAACCUGGGAAGUGCAUUGGAUACUGGUAGACUUGAGUACGGGAGAGGGCAGUGGAAUUCCCAGUGUAGGAGUGAAAUCCGUAGAUAUUGGGAGGAACACCGGUGGCGAAGGCGGCUGCCUGGACCGAUACUGACGCUGAGACGCGAAAGCGUGGGGAGCAAACAGGAUUAGAUACCCCUGUAGUCG